rnacentral:rRNA from 1 species
GACGAAGGGGGCUAGCGUUGUUCGGAAUUACUGGGCGUAAAGCGAGUGUAGGUGGUUGUCCAAGUUGGAUGUGAAAGCCUUGAGCUUAACUCAAGAAAUGCAUUCAGGACUGGGCGACUAGAGGACCGGAGAGGAUAGUGGAAUUCCCAGUGUAGUGGUGAAAUACGUAGAGAUUGGGAAGAACACCAGUGGCGAAGGCGACUUUCUGGUCUGUAACUGACACUGAGGCGCGAAAGCGUGGGGAGCGAACAGG